rnacentral:rRNA from 1 species
UCUUAUGGCCAUGCUAUCCUGAACCAGCCCUAUCCCAUCUGAUCUCGGAAGCUAAGCAGAAUCAGGCCUGGCUAGUACUUGGAUGGGAGACCACCUAGGAAGACUGGGUGUUGUAGGUG